GAUGAACGCUGGCGGCGUGCCUAAUACAUGCAAGUCGAGCGAACGGACGAGAAGCUUGCUUCUCUGAUGUUAGCGGCGGACGGGUGAGUAACACGUGGAUAACCUACCUAUAAGACUGGGAUAACUUCGGGAAACCGGAGCUAAUACCGGAUAAUAUUUUGAACCGCAGGGUUCAAAAGUGAAAGACGGUCUUGCUGUCACUUAUAGAUGGAUCCGCGCUGCAUUAGCUAGUUGGGAAGGUAACGGCUUACCAAGGCAACGAUGCAUAGCCGACCUGAGAGGGUGAUCGGCCACACUGGAACUGAGACACGGUCCAGACUCCUACGGGAGGCAGCAGUAGGGAAUCUUCCGCAAUGGGCGAAAGCCUGACGGAGCAACGCCGCGUGAGUGAUGAAGGUCUUCGGAUCGUAAAACUCUGUUAUUAGGGAAGAACAUAUGUGUAAGUAACUGUGCACAUCUUGACGGUACCUAAUCAGAAAGCCACGGCUAACUACGUG
rnacentral:rRNA from 1 species